rnacentral:rRNA from 1 species
UGGAGGCAGCAGUGGGGAAUCUUGCGCAAUGGGCGAAUGCCUGACGCAGCGACGCCGCGUGUGGGAUGAAGGUCUUCGGAUCGUAAACCACUGUCGGGGGGGGACGAAGGCCCGGCGCCUCAUAAGCGACCGGGAUUGACGGUACCCUCAAAGGAAGCACCGGCUAACUCUGUGCCAGCAGCCGCGGUAAUACAGAGGGUGCGAGCGUUGUCCGGAAUCACUGGGCGUAAAGGGCGCGUAGGCGGCUGGGUAAGCCGCGUGUGAAAGCCCGGGGCUCAACCCCGGAACGGCACGCGGGACUGCCUGGCUCGAGUAUGGUAGAGGCGAGUGGAAUUCCUGGUGUAGCGGUGGAAUGCGUAGAGAUCAGGAAGAACACCGGUGGCGAAGGCGGCUCGCUGGGCCAUUACUGACGCUGAGGCGCGAAAGCGUGGGGAGCAAACAGGAUUAGAUACCCGAGUAGUC